rnacentral:rRNA from 1 species
AGGAUGAACGCUAGCGGCAGGCCUAAUACAUGCAAGCUGAACGGUAAAUAGUGUAGCAAUACAUUAUGAGAGUAGCGUAAGGGUGCGUAACACGUAUGCAAUCUGCCCUGUACAGGAGGAUAGCUCGGCGAAAGCCGGAUUAAUACUUCGUAAUAUUAUUGGGAGCAUCUUUUGAUAAUUAAAGUCGCAAGAUGGUACAGGAUGAGCAUGCGUCUGAUUAGCUAGUUGGUAGUGUAACGGACUACCAAGGCGAUGAUCAGGUAGGGGAACUGGAGAGGUUGACUCCCCCACA